rnacentral:rRNA from 1 species
UACGGAGGGGGCUAGCGUUGUCCGGAUUUACUGGGCGUAAAGCGCGUGUAGGCGGUUGCCCAAGUCGGGUGUGAAAGCCUUGAGCUCAACUCAAGAAAUGCACUCGGUACUGGGUGACUAGAGGACCGGAGAGGAUAGUGGAAUUCCCAGUGUAGUGGUGAAAUACGUAGAGAUUGGGAAGAACACCAGUGGCGAAGGCGGCUAUCUGGACGGUUUCUGACGCUAAGACGCGAAAGCGUGGGGAGCAAACAGG